CAGUCAUGCUAAUCUGAUAUCACUGGUUCUCUUCUGAUUACCGCAGUUAAUCAGCAUCGAGCAUGGUCAGUACUUGGAAGGGUGACUAUUUGGGAACACUGUGUACUGUU